UCCUUCCAUAGCUCAGUCAGCAGAGCAUGAGACUCUUUAACCUCAGGGUUGUGGGUUCGAGCCCCACGUGGGGCGAA